UGUUUUCAGUGGCGGACGGGUGAGUAACGCGUAAGAACCUACCCUUGGAAGGGGGACAACAACUGGAAACGGUUGCUAAUACCCCAUAGGCUGAGGAGCAAAAGGAGGAAUCCGCCCAAGGAGGGGCUUGCGUCUGAUUAGCUAGUUGGUGGGGCAAUGGCUUACCAAGGCGACGAUCAGUAGCUGGUCUGAGAGGAUGAUCAGCCACACUGGGACUGAGACACGGCCCAG
rnacentral:rRNA from 1 species